CAGUAGCCGCGGUAACACGGAGGGUGCAAGCGUUAAUCGGAAUUACUGGGCGUAAAGCGCACGCAGGCGGUCUGACAAGUCAGAUGUGAAAUCCCCGGGCUUAACCUGGGAACUGCAUUUGAAACUGUCAGGCUGGAGUCUUGUAGAGGGGGGUAGAAUUCCAGGUGUAGCGGUGAAAUGCGUAGAGAUCUGGAGGAAUACCGGUGGCGAAGGCGGCCCCCUGGACAAAGACUGACGCUCAGGUGCGAAAGCGUGGGGAGCAAACAGGAUUAGAUACCCGUGUAGUCCCUGUCUCUUAUAC
rnacentral:rRNA from 1 species